rnacentral:rRNA from 1 species
UACGUAGGGUGCAAGCGUUGUCCGGAAUUAUUGGGCGUAAAGAGCUCGUAGGCGGUUUGUUGCGUCGGCUGUGAAAUCCCGAGGCUCAACCUCGGGUCUGCAGUCGAUACGAGCAAACUAGAGUGUUGCAGGGGGAGACUGGAAUUCCUGGUGUAGCGGUGAAAUGCGCAGAUAUCAGGAGGAACACCGGUGGCGAAGGCGGGGUCUCUGGGGCAACAACUGACGCUGAGGAGCGAAAGCGUGGGGAGCGAACAGG